AGCAGCCGCGGUAAUUCCAGCUCCAAUAGCGUAUAUUAAAGUUGUUGCAGUUAAAAAGCUCGUAGUUGAAUUUCGGGAUCAAUACGUCGGUCGUGCUUCGGUACGUACUGGCGUCAUUGAUUUCUCCCUUCUGACGAACCAUGAUGUCAUUAACUUGGUGUCUUGGGAAAUCAGGACUGUUACUUUGAAAAAAUUAGAGUGUUUAAAGCAGGCUCACGCUUGAAUACAUUAGCAUGGAAUAAUGAAAUAGGACGUUCGAUCCUAUUUUGUUGGUUUUAGGAUCAACGUAAUGAUUAAUAGGGAUAGUUGGGGGCAUUAGUAUUCAAUUGUCAGAGGUGAAAUUCUUGGAUUUAUUGAAGACUAACUACUGCGAAAGCAUUUGCCAAGGAUGUUUUCAUUAAUCAAGAACGAAAGUUAGGGGAUCGAAGACGAUCAGAUACCGUCGUAGUCUUAACCAUAAACUAUGCCGACUAGGGAUCGGAUGAUGUUAAUUUUUUAAUGACUCA
rnacentral:rRNA from 1 species